rnacentral:lncRNA from 1 species
ACCAUCUCAUCAAACAUCCUCACUUGAACACUCCCAAUACCAGCAACUUGAUAUGGGUGAUCAUCUCCAACUAUCACGCUCCCUUCAUCCGUCUUGGUGUAUGUAGCGAACCAAGAUCAAUUUGGGGUGUAGUGAUGCGAAUAGACUGAAUCCAGAAUCCAUACAUUUGUGUUUCACCUGUGACCAUCUAAUACCACCAAGAGGUCAUCCUCAACC